UGGGGAAUAUUGCACAAUGGGCGCAAGCCUGAUGCAGCCAUGCCGCGUGUGUGAAGAAGGCCUUCGGGUUGUAAAGCACUUUCAGCGAGGAGGAAGGUGGUGAGCUUAAUACGCUCAUCAAUUGACGUUACUCGCAGAAGAAGCACCGGCUAACUCCGUGCCAGCAGCCGCGGUAAUACGGAGGGUGCAAGCGUUAAUCGGAAUUACUGGGCGUAAAGCGCACGCAGGCGGUUUGUUAAGUCAGAUGUGAAAUCCCCGGGCUCAACCUGGGAACUGCAUUUGAAACUGGCAAGCUAGAGUCUCGUAGAGGGGGGUAGAAUUCCAGGUGUAGCGGUGAAAUGCGUAGAGAUCUGGAGGAAUACCGGUGGCGAAGGCGGCCCCCUGGACGAAGACUGACGCUCAGGUGCGAAAGCGUGGGGCAGCAAACAGGAUUAGAUACCCUGGUAGUCCACGCUGUAAACGAUGUCGAUUUGGAGGUUGUCGCCCUUGAGGCGUGGCUUCGGAGCUAACGCGUUAAAUCGACCGCCUGGGGAGUACGGCCGCAAGGUUAAAACUUAAAUGAAUUG
rnacentral:rRNA from 1 species